rnacentral:rRNA from 1 species
UUUUCGGAAGGUAUGCUUAAAGAUGAGCUUGCGCCACAUUAGUUUGUUGGUGGGGUAAUGGCCUACCAAGACGAUGAUGUGUAGCUGGACUGAGAGGUCGAACAGCCACAUUGGGACUGAGACACGGCCCAAACUCCUACGGGAGGCAGCAGUAGGGAAUUUUCGGCAAUGGAGGAAACUCUGACCGAGCAACGCCGCGUGAACGAUGAAGUAUUUCGGUAUGUAAAGUUCUUUUAUUGAAGAAGAAAAAAUAGUGGAAAAACUAUCUUGACGUUAUUCAAUGAAUAAGCCCCGGCUAACUAUGUGCCAGCAGCCGCGGUAAGACAUAGGGGGCGAGCGUUAUCCGGAAUUAUUGGGCGUAAAGGGUGCGUAGGCGGUUAGGAAAGUCUAUAAUUUAAUUUCAGUGCUUAACGCUGUCUUGUUAUAGAAACUACCUUGACUAGAGUUAGAUAGAGGCAAGCGGAAUUCCAUGUGUAGCGGUAAAAUGUGUAAAUAUAUGGAGGAACACCAGAAGCGUAGGCGGCUUGCUGGGUCUUGACUGACGCUGAGGCACGAAAGCGUGGGUAGCAAACAGGAUUAGAUACCCUGGUAGUCCACGCCGUAAACGAUGAGUACUAAGUGUCGGGAUAAAACUCGGUACUGAAGUUAACACAUUAAGUACUCCGCCUGAGUAGUACGUACGCAAGUAUGAAACUUAAAGGAAUUGACGGGACUCCGCACAAGCGGUGGAUCAUGUUGUUUAAUUCGAAGAUACACGAAAAAUCUUACCAGGUCUUGACAUGCUCUGCAAAGCUAUAGAAAUAUAGUGGAGGUUAUCAGGGACACAGGUGGUGCAUGGUUGUCGUCAGUUCGUGUCGUGAGAUGUUAGGUUAAGUCCUAAAACGAGCGCAACCCUUGUCGUUAGUUACCAGCACGUAAUGGUGGGCACUUUAACGAGACUGCCAAUUAAACAUUGGAGGAAGGUGAGGAUUACGUCAAAUCAUCAUGCCCCUUAUGAUCUGGGCUACAAACGUGAUACAAUGGCUGUUACAAAGAGUAGCUGAAGCGCGAGUUUUUAGCCAAUCUCAAAAAAGCAGUCUCAGUUCGGAUUGAAGUCUGUAACUCGACUUCAUGAAGUUGGAAUCGCUAGUAAUCGCGAAUCAGCAUGUCCCGGUGAAUACGUUC